GGGUUUGUAGCUUAAUGGAAAAGCAUUGAACUUUUAAUUCACUGACUGCGGGUUCAAAUCCUGCCAGACCCAC
rnacentral:tRNA from 1 species